UUGUUUGUUUACGAUUUUUGACGUUCUUUAGACAUUGUAUGGUUGAUAGUCCCAAGCCCCGAGAGGCGAGGGAACGGUUCACGGUGUGUGUGGAUGAAAACGGCCAGAGGCCAAUCUCUAAUGAUCCUUCCGCAGGUUCACCUACGGAAA
rnacentral:misc_RNA from 1 species